rnacentral:rRNA from 1 species
AGCGAACGCUGGCGGCAGGCCUAACACAUGCAAGUCGAACGAACCUUUCGGGGUUAGUGGCGGACGGGUGAGUAACACGUGGGAACGUGCCUUUAGGUUCGGAAUAACUCAGGGAAACUUGUGCUAAUACCGAAUGUGCCCUUCGGGGGAAAGAUUUAUCGCCUCUAGAGCGGCCCGCGUCUGAUUCGCUAGUUGGUUGAGGUAAUGGCUCACCAAGGCGACGUUCAGUAGCUGGUCUGAGAGGAUGAUCAGCCACAUUGGGACUGAGACACGGCCCAAACUCCUACGGGAGGGAGCAGUGGGGAAUCUUGCGCAAUGGGCGAAAGCCUGACGCAGCCAUGCCGCGUGAAUGAUGAAGGUCUUAGGAUUGUAAAAUUCUUUCACCGGGGACGAUAAUGACGGUACCCGGAGAAGAAGCCCCGGCUAACUACGUG